rnacentral:lncRNA from 1 species
UCAGAAGACGAGAAGAAGAAAAAGGAAGAGCUAAAGGAGAAGUUUGAAGGACUCUGCAAAGUGAUUAAGGACGUCCUUGGAGACAAAGUCGAGAAGGUCAUUGUCUCUGACCGUGUUGUGGACUCACCAUGCUGUCUGGUAACAGGGGAAUACGGCUGGACUGCAAACAUGGAGAGGAUCAUGAAAGCGCAGGCCUUGAGAGACAGCAGCAUGGGAGGUUACAUGUCUUCCAAGAAGACGAUGGAGAUCAACCCAGAGAAUGCGAUCAUGGACGAGCUAAGGAAGAGAGCCGAAGCUGACAAGAAUGACAAGUCUGUGAAGGAUCUUGUUCUUCUCCUCUUUGAGACUGCUCUUCUCACUUCAGGUUUCAGCUUAGACGAGCCCAACACCUUCGGAAGCAGAAUCCACAGGAUGUUGAAGCUGGGAUUGAGCAUUGAUGAUGAUGAUGCCGUUGAAGCCGAUGCUGAGAUGCCACCGCUUGAGGAUGAUGCCGAUGCUGAAGGCAGCAAGAUGGAGGAGGUCGACUAAAAGCCUGCCCUGUUGCUGCAGUGAACGAUUUUUCUCUACUUAUCUGCUCUUUCUAUGGCUAAAACUAUUAUUUUGGUGUUUUUUCUUCUUUUCUCAAGUACUAUUAGUGGUGUAGUUUUUUUCUCUGAACUAUAACUAUUGCUGUUAAGGGACUUCGUUUCUUCCAAAUCCAGAAAUUGUUAUUGCACGGUUGAUGAGUAUCCUACUGAUAUAUUUUGUAUCUUGAACUUUGCUUAAGACAACAUAGUUAAAGUAUGUUUAAGUACCUGGACUGAAGAGUGGAAAAAAUGUAGUUGCUUGUGUUCUGUCGUUUGGAGUAUUACUCUUUUCUUAAGAGAACAUUAGUCUUCUAUGAUUUGACAGACAAGUUUGAAGACUCAUUAAAAAAACUUACAGAUCUCUUUUUGUCGCAACAGUUUCAAGAUUCUUUGCAUCGCUGCUCUCUACAUAGUAGAUUCACUGGCCAUUGUUAUAGUUCUGAGUGAGGUUUUUUGGGGGAAAACACACAGGUUGAAGCAAACCACUUGGGUAAAAGAUCUAUCAAUUUCAAAAGUUUAUAUAUCAUAUGGACCAGUUGUAUCUACAAAUAGGCCUGGUCAAGAUGUAAAUCGAAAAGAAUUUUGCCUCGCAACAAAGCUCAGCAAGAGAAAAAUAAAUGAGUUCAGAGAAACAAAUUAACUUUCACAAGAAAGCUCAACGAGACAAAUGAACAAAUAAAUGAGUUCAGAGAAAGUCUUUGUAGAUUGCUCUUUUUAUCGCUCUUUUUAUCUUCAGGUAUCUUCAACCUGAGAAUGGAACACAAAGCUUGGAAACGUAGUCGUGAUAUCCCUGCAAGCACAGACACAACAUGGUCACCACCUUUAUUGAGAAGAAACCAGAGAAGCAAUUCUGUUGUAUAGAUUUCAAUAAGUCCCGGUUACAAAAACAUAAACUCACUUGAGAUAUUGAAGAGUCAUGUUCUUGAGAAGGCUAGGAUGUCUAAGAACAAGGCUUCUCCACUCUUCCUUAUCAAUCUUUCCAUCGUGUUUCGUGUCUGCUUCUUCAAACGUCUAAAACAAAUCAAAACUCAGGGAAAGUUACUCUCAACUAAAGCUAUUGUGCGAAGAUGAGAAAAGCAACUUACCUUGUCAAUUAUAUCCUCAAUGACAGUAUCCUUCAGGUUCAUUCCAGAUUCAGCAAGCGUAGCCACAACCAUUUGUUUCACCUGGACAAAAACAGCGGUGAGGAUGAUGAUAAAGUGCAGUUUAAUAUGAAACCUAUUUGAAUAUACCUCUUGCCGUUCUAUGAAACCUUGCUGUUUAAGAUCAUAUAGCUGAAAUGAAACUGCAACAACAACAUAUAUAUAUAAACCAUGAAUCGGAAACAAUAUUAGGACAUUAUUUUUUCUAAGCUAUAAGGGACUUACAUUGGAUUUUGUCAUCUAUAGGUGCAUUGGGAUGGAAUACAGAGAGAGCUCGAGCAAACUCCUCAAACCCAAGUAUUCCAUUGUGCUUUGUGUCAAACAAAUCAAAAACCUACAAACCAAAUGACAUAUGCUUCUUAAGACUUGAUCUUUUGGGGGGGAAAAAAACACUUGUAGUAAAGAAAGAAAUAUUACUCGAUCAGCAAACAAGCUCUCUUUCUUAUUUGUCUUAAACAAUGCCAACUGAAACUCCUCCUGAACCAAAGUUUUAACAAGAGAUGAGUAAACUAGACUGAGAUGGUGUCAACAAAUAAUGAAUUGACCAAAAAGAUUACACAAGCUCUUACCUUGUUUAUAAGCCCAUCAUCAAUCACAGCACUGCUGAUUUUUUUAAACAGCUCAUAAAGAGCUUCUAUCUCACUGACACUAACUGCACCACAAACCAAGUUCCAUUUAUUUUUUUAUUUUUUUCAAACCAAGUUCCAUACAAUCAUAUAAACCGAACUAAAUUAAAAAAAAAGGAAUAGAGAAGCUGAUAGGCAAUACAAACUGUGUCUCUCGAAAGCAAUUCAGGGUCACCAAGUCCGCCACCAGAUUGUUUAUACAAAUCGAGAUCAAAACACCCUAAAACAGAGGUGCAUAAAUGCUUAACACCGUCUAUGCACUGCGUCAUGAUUGAUAACUUAUGCAAAUCAUAACUCUCCAUGCCUGCAAAAUAAAACAAAACAGGGAGAAGAAGUAAAGCCUAAGUGAAAACUCUACAGAAACAAAACAUAUGAACAAAUAUAAAAACCCACCUUAUAAGUUUUAACCUUUGGUCUGAGAAAAGGCAGAGCGCUCUGCGAUGAUCUGUAAUUGUAAAAGCAGAUGAGAUGUAAAUUGUAAUCACUUAAUAAAUCUUUUGGUCUGACAGAGUAGACAUAAGAUUGAAUGUAACACACACAACUUGAAAAAAAGUUAAAGAUAGGAUCAGACAAAGAUUCAUAAUAACAAAAUAAAGGCAACAAAACAUUGCUUACACACUAUAAACUGAAGUCAUUGUCAUUAUUACCAGAUGUUACUUAUGUCCACAUAAACACAAACGAAGGCUUGAAUGAUAUCAUUGGCAAAUUAUUUAAAAAGAUAAACGAGAAUAACGAUGCAAAAGCCUAAAAAUGUUUAAUUCACAUAACAAACCAAAUUUAUAUAUCUAAUUUUCUUAAACAUUAGAAUAAUGGAACAUUGCUCUCUAAAUCACUCCGAUUCAACAUUACAGUAAAACGGAUUCGUGAUGGAAUCACACGUUAUGCAACUCUUAUACUAUUCAGUAGUUGUGAACUGAAUUGGUUUUACAGAUUAACAGAAAUCAACCGAAUAAAAAGUUACCGUUUUUCGAUGCUUCUGAUUGUAUUCCUCAAUCUCAAGGCGGCUCUUUGGCGGUUGGAAGGUGGUGGAGAUUGGUAGUAAGGUGAGAGCCGAUUCUGGUGUAAGCAGAAUGGUUUAGAAGAACAAAUAUAUUUUACAAAACCUGAGAAAAUCUUUUAAACUAUUUAUGUAAAUAAAAUAAAGAAAUAAUCUUUUUAGCAUUAACUAACUUUGGUCUACAACUUUUUAAAUCAAUUAAUCUUAUAUAUUAAAACAGAAGUCACAACCUUAAUUCAUGUGUGAUUUUUUUAAAAAUGGACCUAAUGGACCUAUUCAUAGAAAUUCAUACUAUAUUUUAAUUCAGACUAAUAAUAAAUAUAAUUUUUAAAAUAUUUUAAUCAUAGUAUCUUUUGAUAUUUUUCAUUUUAAAUAUAAAUAUAUUUAUUUUAAAAUUCUAACAAAUCUGUUUAAAAAGAUUUUUACAAGAUCUUCAUUUUUGAAAUUAUAUUUAAAUAUUUUCACUAAUUUCGAAAUUAGUUUAAAAUAUUAUUAUACAUUAAUAUAUUCAGUUAUAUAAAAUGAAAAAUAAAAAAAAUCUAUAAUAUUUUAGUUAUUAUAUAAUCAUAAUCAAUCAUAUUAAAUUAAAAUUAUUAUCUUGAGCUAAAUAUAAUAAAAUUGUAUUAAACUUAUAUAUUUAUAUAUUUUAUUUUCGUAAUUAUAAAAUAUUUAUGUUCAAAAAUAAAAUCUAAUAUGUUGGUAAGAUGGGUUAACAUUAUCAAAUUAUAUAAUACAUGUAUAAAAAUUAACAUGUAUUUAUUUAAAGUUAAUAAUAUAAAAUCUUUGUAACUACAUUAAUUAUAAUAUAUUUUCAUUUUAAAUAUAAUAUAUAUUUAUAUAUUAUAUUUUAAAAAUUCUAAUAAAUCUGUGUAAUAUUUUUUUUUGUCACGAAUAAAUCUGUGUAAUAUUUAAACAAUAACUUAAUGUAUUUUAAGUUAUUGUUUAGAAAUGAAAAUAAAUAAAUUAUAUCCUAUUUUAUCUACUUUUAUAGUCAUGAUCAUGUUAAAAUAUAAUUAUUAUACUAAAAUAAAUAUGAUAAAAUUAUAUUCAAUUGAUAAAUUUAUAAAUUUUAUUUUCAUAAAUAUAAACUAUUUAUUUAAAAUAUAAUAUGAUGAUAGAACGACUUAAAAUUAACAAACUAUAUAAUACAUGUCUAAAAAUUAACAUAUCUUACACUUUUAUAUAUACAAUAAUAAAUUAUCUAAAAUAAAUAAGCAUAAAAAUAUUGGUAAAAAGAAAUCCAGUUUUGAAAUACGGGUCAGAAUUUAGCAUAAAUUAAAUACAAAAUAUUUUUUAAAUAUAUUUUCUCAUGAAUCCCCUAUAUUAUUUUGCUUAAUAAUUAAAUGCAAAUACAAUAAAACAAAUAUAUAAUAGGAAGUGGUAAAUACAUAAGGUUUAAAUAAUUAAUUAAUUAUAACAUGUAAAUUAUAAAAUUAUUGUAUUUGAAAUAGUUAUAUAAAUAUUUAACUAUAUAAUUAUCAUUAAAAAUAUAUACUACUUAUGUUCUAAAACAAUAAUUUAUGUAUAGAAAAAUGAAAACAAACACCUGUGCGGUUGCACGGGUCAAAAUCUAGUUAUGUUGUUGAUACAGCUGUUAAGCCACGAAUGAGUGAAGCUCCAACAACUACUUGUCACACGUCGCAUUUUGUGGAGCCUGUGUUAAAUAAUGCGCUGUAUUUAAUUAUACGACCACGUUUUACUCGGGACUUAAUUUGCACUUUAUUACGGAACCGUUUAAUGUUUGGUUUGGUUUUGUUUUAUUUCCGGUUUACGUUAUAGACGAUCUGAAUUGAACCUGAACCACCGGUCUCAUCAGUUGUCUUUUAACGUUUUCAUUUCACAAUACAUCAAAAUCGCAGCAAUAAUCAACAUUUAAUGUAUAUACGGGUGUGUUAAAAAAAAAAAGUAUAUACGGGUUGUAAGGAUAUAUAUAUGGAGAACCUUUUUAAAAUAUUCAACUCGAUUCAGAAAAUGAAUAUUUCGUGUGUUUUGAGGCAUUUUGAUGAUUGUGUAAAUGGAAUUUAAUUGAUUAAGCGUAUGAUUGUACAAUAAAUCAAUUUUAGAAUGUAAAAUCUCUGACGAACUACAUAAAGUUCGUCUUCGAUCGGUUUAGGCCGAAUUCAAACUGUUUGGUAUACAUUUUCAACACAAAACCGACACUUAUUAUACCGAAUAGGGGCGAAUACAUACGAUUAAAAGCGGUUUACUAAGCCUUGAUAGAGUCACUAAACCAGCUCGACUUGGACGACAAAAGCACAGCGAGGUUCGACCCUAUAGACCCGGUACGUGUCAGGGAAUCAACACGAUGGUGCCUGCACCUGAAAGAGCCGGCGUGUGUCGUCGGAGUCCCAACGGCGUAAACUCGGUGAGUUUUGGUCUAGGUUCUGCUUCUUGAUCUGUUCGACGGGAGAGCCUCCGGAAGGUUGGGAUUUGAUCUUGCCUAAAUUUAUGGAAUACUUCUCCUCCGCCAUAUAUUUUCUGACAACUAGAGCUUAAGGGUUUUCUCUCGCCGUGGUUUUGAUGAAAAAUAAGAACGAUUCGUACUGUUUUUGUUGUUUCAUAGACAUGUCUGUGGGUAUUAUAUGGGGACUUAAGAGACAAGGCAACUAAAUUAGUCGUUGUAAGGUUGUUGACAAACUGCAUUUUUAAGAUUCGGGUGGUUUAGUAUUCUAGAAAAGAAUAAAUAAGAAUUAGAGGGAAAUAUUUGACUUAGUGGUUAUAUUCUUCUUUUUCUAGUUACACAUUUACACAUUUGUGAUCGUCAAAUAGUUAGAGAAAUACAUGGAUAAAACCAAAAUAUAAUUACUGAAAAUAUAUUGGAAACAAAUUGUGUCUAAGCGCCAAACAAAACCCUAAAACUAUUUAAUUAAUUUGGCGAUGUUGUAAGUUGUAACUAAACAAAAAAACAUCCAAAAAUGUUAGUCUCCUAUUUGUAGUAUGGGGAUGACCUUGAAUUCAAAUCUAAAUUAAAGCACCUUAUUGUUGAAGUCAAAGUCAUUAAGAUGCCUUGUGAACCGAAGUUUAUGUCCAACAUGAAAAUCAGGUAUUCUAACUGUCGUACACCAGUUGAACGUAUAUAUAUACCAUGAAUUUGGUAACUACAAAAUUAGUUUGGAAGCUUAUGUAGUUACCUCGUUUAGGUUAAAUCACUGAGGGGUUAAAUAUGCUUUUAUUAGCAAAUAGAACUGAAAAUACAAGGCAUGAUGAGAAAUAACCAUAUGAAGUGUAAACACUAUUACUAUUACUUAUCAAAAAAAAAGAGUGUAAACACUAUAUCAAGAUUUUUAUAAAUGUUGUGGCAUUGUGAUUUGUAUCUCCUCACAAUGUACUUUACGGUUACUGGUGAGCUCUUUCUGUACAAAACUUUUGACACUCACUCACACAAGUAACCUACUUGCUUCAAACCAAAAAUAAAAAUAAAAACCUUUGAGAGAAGAAACCAAACAAACCAAAAACUAUAGAACUAAAAUCAGAGUCUCUUAUGAGCUCUUGUCUGCUUUAGGGUUUUGUGCUUUUUCAUCCGGAAAGAUCUUGUUUGCAGAGAGGACAACAAGAGAUGAUACGAAGCCACUGAUCUACACACUUAAGGUGAAACUUAUGUGAACAUGGAAGCUUCCUUACUUCUUCCUUGUCUUUAUACUUUGCCAAACAUAUACAACACUCCUGCAUAUCAAGAAUAAAGAAAAUCAAAACCUACUUUUUUCUAUCAUAUAUCUAUCUAAGAUUAAUAAUAUACAACAUUUGAUGUCAGAAUACUUAGUGGAUCAGACAGAGUAAUUACAAAUGAAACCAGUUCCGGUAUAGCAUCAUUGAAUAUCUGAUUGAUUAACCAUAUAUUCAAUUUUUGCUAAAACUCUGUCUUAAGAAAAACCCUUAUGGGUCUGCUUUGAUAUGUGAGUCAAAUGAUUAUAACUUACAGGAUCAUCAGUUUUAGGAGCUGAAUCAGAAGCAUUGUCGUCGGCUCGUUUGUGUUUCCAGCUAGGGAGACUAGAGAUUUGGUCAUCAGAUGCACCUCUGUCUGAAGAUCCCAUGUUCAUGUUGUAUCCAAGGAGACUACUAAUGAGAGGCACAAGGCAACAGAGGAAUAGGAAGAGAAGAAAGGGAAAAGAGUAGCAGAGAGCGUUCCAAGAAAGAAGAGAGACGCAGAGAACGUGAAGCUUUGGAGCAUGGUUGAAAGAACCGAAUCUAGAAUCAAACACCCAAACAUUCCCAACCACAAACCAAAUCGCAAAGAACAGCUCUAGAGACGUUCUGCACUUGUUCAUCAAAUGAGAGCUCCUGAAAUUUAAAACAUAUACGAUAUUAAUACAACUUCAGGAUCUUGCAAAGGUUAUAGUAUUCAAAAUCAAGAAAAUAUAAGUUACCUAGUUUCAUCUCUGCCUCUGUGUUGCUGCUCAAUAUCGACAAACCAGUUUCCUUGGUUUAGUUGGCGAAACCGACCAUAUAAUAGCAUAAGACUGAGGAGACAUCCCACAUCAUAACCUGUGAUCCAUAACCUCACUGGCCAAACAGGUCUCUCUUCUUUUGAGAUAGCUAGUGUGAGUGUAAUCACUGUAAGCUGAACAAGCAGGGCUAUAAGCUCAGACAUCAUCCACGUGCUGGAGUUAAAAGGGUUGGAGCCGAGAUCUGAUCUUGAUCCGUUUUGAUAGUGAAACACUCUUCUCAAGAAGAUAAACCAUCUAGCUCUAGAUACCCUCAUAGCAAACCUUAAGUAGAAGGACCUCUCUUGAACAGAGGCAGGCGCAUGAGUGUUGUCACUUCGUGGUGGUGUGGUACUCAAUGAAGAAGAUGAUGAAAUAGUUAUGGAGACAAUAUUGGAAGAUGAUUCAUCCAUUGGAAGUUUUCCAAAGCGUUCAAUAUAUAUUUAAACCUUCAAAGAAAAAAAGAUUGAACAUUAAAAAAAAAAAAAAAAAACUUCUGAAAGUUUAUAAGUUGUGAACACACACAUGAAACUUGGAAGUAUAUAAACGAAAAGAUCAUGGAAAAAAAACACAAGAAAAAACACAGAAACUAAAGAAAAGGAAUCAUGAAAUUUACAUGACCUAACAAUAAUAAAAACACAUGAAAAAUCUAUAUACCUUAUUUGCAACCACCAAAAAGGCAAAACUCAGCUCCGUACACGAACUCCACGACUUCCCGAAAAGGAGGAAUCUAUUUCACAAAAGGAAAGUACCUCUAGUAGCCUAAGCUUUGAGUAUAGAGAUAAGCUUUUGUCUGAAAUGAAAUAGGUUUUAUAGGGAUAACUUGUUUCUAAUAUAGGAGAAAAGAUUGAGAAGACAGGAACAAGAGAAAAAGAUGAUUACAAAGAAAGAUUAGGAAGGUGUUGUGUUUAUGUCAGGGAAGGUGAAGUUGGGCGAGAGAUGGCGACCAAGAAUCACACCAUAACAAAAGGAUUGUUUAUAUAUUUUAUAAGAGACAAACUCUUUGAAGUUUGUGUUUUGUUUUGUUUGCUUACGUUUGAAGAGAAACAAAGAAAGGGAGAGGAAGAGAACCGUUGGCCUAAUCUAACACCUGAGGUUUUGUUUAUGAAGAAAUGUUUAGAUCGCAACUGCUUAUUCCAACCGCCAAUGCAGACCUUCUCUCUCUACUCUGUUUCUCUCUCUCUAGGAUUGAGAGGAAAGGGAAAGAUAUUUUAUUUGAUUUCUUUUUGUUUUGUUUUUAUUUGUAGAAUUUUCGUUUUGGAAAAGAAAUGGAUAAGAAUUAAGAAUAUCUAGAUGAAGUCAUCAAUUCAAAAUUCACCGUAUGACAAAUCUUUUUGUUAUAACAGAACAAUCUUUCUCGCUUUUUAUUAUGUUGAUCAUUUCCCAACUAUAGUGAUAUUAAAUUUUAAUAAAAAAAUAUACUAUAUAUAAAAUUACAAAUUUUUCCUCUACGUCCAUAACUUAACCUUGUAGCAGUAUGGUUCUUAUUCGAUUCAGUGAUUUUACAUAUGUAAUUAUAUUAAAUCAUAUAUAUACACUUUUAUUUGGAUUAAAUAAAUAAAUGAUGCUUAAGAUUACUAAUUUUGACAACAAGAUUGUAUAACUUGGCGGGAGGAAAUGGGAAGGAGUGGGGGAUGGUUGGCUAACUAAUCUCAACCAGAAGAGUCUAUCAAUUAUCAUUUACGUUGUGGAGUGGAGCCCAAUUCCUCACUUUCUUUCAGUUUCCACGUUGUCUUUUGUCCCAUUAUUAUUUUUAUUUUUUGAAAAAGGCUUUUGCCCCAUUAUUGAGUUUUAUUUGUCAGAUGAUAGUUGUGAAAAAGUAUAUGAUUAAAAAUGAAUAAAAGCGAAUACAUUGUGAACGAAUUAAUAUUCUAGAACUUUCGCAAAUUUUUAAAGUCAAUUAUGUGAAUACUAUAUACGUAUAUGUUGAAACCUAGAGUAUUCAAAACAGAAUUUAGUUCUGCAUCUGUGAAAAUUAUAAAAGCGCUUUAGAACUAGUAUUCUGGUUCCGUUGGUCAAUCAUUCAAAUAUGUUGACUUUCUUACAUUGUAUUUUGACACCAAUUCACAUUUACAAAUUACAAGUUGAAGUUUCCGAGAUUGGAAAUAGAGUAAAAGCUAAAUGACUAUGCAUGGUAUAUCUCUAAAAAUAGUAAGUACUAACAGUUGACACUGACAGCACAAGAUCCAAAAUGAAUUUUUUUUUAUCUAAACGACAAGCAAUUUUAACUGUUAUCUAUAGUAACCUUCAAGGAACUACGAUUCUACAUCCGUCUUAUCGACUCAUUGCACUUUGUAAUUUAAAACUAAAUAAAUCUAAACUCUUUGAUUUACACAUCGAAUGAGGAUAAUUUAAUUUAAUCAUCAUUUCAUAAGGUUUAAUCGAAUUUGAAAGCUUGAACAUAAAUCAUGUUUCUCUCCGUGCAUCGUCGACCAUAUGUAUAUAUGUCGGUCUCGUCGACAAUUCGUCGACCAAUGGAGACAUGCAACAUCAUGAUUACUUUAGCAUGCGAAUAUUUCAUGAAUAUUGACUAAUUAUUAUAUUAUUUUUAUAAGAAAAAAAGAAACUCCAAGGCAACAUCACUCAAAGCAUAACACGUGGCUUCACACGAACACACAGACAGGUGGAUAAAAUUAAUAUCGUUAGCUAAGUUGAAAGUUUUUUUUUUUUUUUUUUUUUUUGUUAAGUUGUUGAAAGCUCAUUUAUCCAGUUAUGAGUUAUCAGAUAGCCACAGGACUUCUCGGUUGUUUUUGGUGGUUAUUGUAAUCCCAACAUCACUUUCGUCUUUUGUUAAAGUUAAUAUAAACUCUGUUUUUGUAAUCCAAACACGUAUUCUUUCUUUUUUCUUUUUAUACUUCAUCAUCGCUUCACAUUCUGGAUUUCCACAGCACGAGAAAUCAGGGCCGGUCCUUGACUAAAGCGGACAAAGCUAUAGGUUUAGGCGGCAAAAUUAUGUUACAUAUUUCAGGGGCAGCAAUUUUGUUAGAAAUGAUAGUGGUGUAGUAGUUGUUGCUAUAACUUGGAUUAUGGCUUCGAUUCUUUACUCUUACAUUUUUAUAGGCUAUAUAUUUUAUUGAUAGAUCUAAAGUUUUUGAGCUUUAGAUGCCACAUAGUGAUGGACCGGACCUCUGAGAAAUCCUUGUCAAAAUCAGCUAGAUCAUCCCACAUUACUUUCAGUCUGCCAAAGUAAACUUCAACUGCAUUGCCAUUCUGUUUGCAUGAUGCAAUCCAGCAUGAAGUUGAUGAACUUUUUGUAUCAUCGCUUAUAGAAAAGCCUCAGUUGAAGGCUUCCCCACAUAAUCUUUGCGCUGUCAACCAGUGAUAUUGACGGUCGCAAUUUUGGUUCUACACUCCUGUAGAUCCAACCAAUGAUCAUAGCAUUCACAAUAUCCCACUUUUUUCAUCUUCUGGUUUGUUGACUGGUUGUUUCAGAGUGCCAUCAACGAAACCUAUCUUUUGUUUGGUUCUUAACUAGUUGAACAUCAAUUUUGCCCAUUUUUCAUAAUUUGCUCCAUUCAAAAGAAUGAGUGUCUAAACUUGUCAUGUAUUAUCUAAAGGAUGGAGAUAAUAUGGAGAGACAAGUGGAUCGUUUCUCCACCAGUAGCUCAUGUCGGUGACGCCAUGCUAAUCGAGGUAGAUCAAAAAAAAUCUCAUCGUAACAGUAUAUUUUGGUGGUUCGUAAAUUUAUUAGCUUUGUAGAAAAUUUAGUUGUUUGGCUGUGAUACCAUAACAAACUAAUAUAAACUUUGUUUUUGUUAUUCAUCUCAAGGUCAAUACAUCGAUAUUUAUACACAUGAUAUGAGCCGUAACAAUAGGAGAUAACUACUACAACCAAUAAUGUUGUGUUUAUUUAAAUAUAUGUUUAUCCUUAACUAAUAUUUCGCACAUAUCACCGUCUGUUGAUAUAGGGUUUGACUAAGUUUUGAGUUAAGGUUAGUGCAUAUAUAACACCACAAACUUAAGACCUUAUCACACCAAAAUUACUAGUGCCUCGUAAAAACAAGGAUCUGAAGAAUAAAUCUGAUCCAAAAAGUUAUACCAAACUUGAACUGAAACUGAUAAAAUAUAUGAUGAAUAGAUUCAAAAUUUUAAUAUAUGGAAAAACCGGAGCAGAACCAAACUGAAAUAUUCCAGACACAUAAAAAUAAAUGAUCAUUAAUUAUAUGCUUAAAUAUAUUAAUUAUUUUUAAUAUAAUAUCUAAAAAUAUUCUGAAUUAUCAAAUACUUGGAAAAAUAUCUAAAAUUUGAAGAAGAAAAACUGACAUUGAAGUAAACUACAGUUAGAUAUGUAUGACCCCGAAUUAUUGGGCCCAAAUUAUUCUAUGGGUCAAUCUGGGCCCAAGUUGUUUAAAAUUAACAUAUUAGCGUAAUGCGUAAUGGAUCUCACUUAAGAAGGAUCUAGAAAUUCUGUAUUAUGUGGGUAUAUAUCUAAUUAUAUAAAAGAAUGUUUGAGUCUCUCCCGUCAUGUCCACGUGUAAAUUCUUUUGAUAUAGACUUGACGCGUGUCUCGCUUCUCCACAAACCGAGCUUUCUUCACUCCUUUUCGCUCUAUUGUUUUGGGCUUCAGUUGCCAGGCCCGUAAGUGAAGAUGAACCCUAGAUCGCGUUUCGCGUUUACACCAUCGCCUCCGUCCUGACUUUGCGAUUCCGGUAACGGUUCAGCCGAUACUUAACUCCCAUUUAUUGUUACCUCCACGAUGUGCCUUCAAUGCGGUCGUCGCGUCGCAUAGGCGGUGAGUUUUUUUGUAUAUAUAGACAUCAGAUCUCUCAUCUUCGAUUCAUCAAAUCUUUGUUGCUUAGUACUCAUAUAGAUUCCGCUUCAGUUUUGUCAUGUCUACUCCCAGGGUUUUCUUCUCAGACCUCAAGUCCGGCAAGUGCUCAUCCGCUGUUGAGGCUCGGCUUCUGCGAUUCUGGGAGGCGAAGAAUGUCAAACGCGGUGGGGAGCUGAUGUGGGUCGACAUGCUCUUGAUUGAUGUCAAUGUGAGUUAUUUUCAUACAUGAUUAAUCCGAUUAAACUCUUCGUGUUUGGUUUUUUUUUCCUAAAGUUUAAUCAAUUUUUUUUUUCAUGUAUCAGGCGACAAUGAUGCAAGCCACCAUCUAUGCUAACCGCCUUUCAAGAUUUCGUUCCAAACUCGCCGCCGGAACGAUGUACACCAUCUCUGGAUUCGACUCCCCUCUGAUGAUCCGGUUUAAUGAUUCCACCGCCUUUGAUGAGCUAACCGAGCCGGUUAGUCCAUUACCUGAAGAAGGAUUCCGGUUCCGUAAUCAGUCUGAAUAGCAAGGGUUCAUCGUGUUCGUCGACCUUUGGGUAAUCUCAAACAAUGGAGUUUCGAAGAGAGUUAUCAGAGACGGAUCGAUCGAUCUGUAUUCGUGUCGUUUCGUCUUGCUUCUGGAUGAAUUGAUUUGAUGCCAUUAAUGAUAUUCUUAACUCCAUCAAGCCACUGCAACCACGUUUUGUCAUUCAAUACACCUUCUAUCUCUUCAAAGGCGGUGCAUCUCAAGCUAUAAAAAGCUGAGCUUUCAUCCCAUAAACAUUAUCCUCACAAAUCAAAAUAAUCCUUGAAAGUUAUUUGAUUUUUUAACUCAAUAUUGAUGUUUGUUGUUUGCUUUUUAUACUUUUAUUAUAUGCUUGAAUCAGCAACGCAGGGCCGUGCUAGGCAGGAACUAGAAGACUCUUGCUUUUCGGAUUCCCUUCAUUAACAUAAUCAACAAACUCAACUCUAAACACAGGUUUGUUAAAUCUAUCGUUGUACUUUUGUAAUUGAAGACUCAAAGUUUUACACUUUCUAUGGUUCUUAUUUGGAUUCGAUGUGUGAAAGGCUUGGUAAGAACCAUUUUUGUUUGGUUUUGGCUCCGACAAGAGAGCUUGCUGGUCCGGUAGCAAAUAAAUUCAGAGAAGCCCCAUCUCUCGGUGAGGCACGAAACAGAACAGCAAAAUGAGAACUCUCAGAUGCAGAAUUUCGCUGGUGUUGGUGGUGCUCCUGUUGGUGAUAGUUUAGGACCUUCACGUCUCUCUCCGGCUGACUUCUACGUCUUGAAAGUUUGACAGGGCAUGUGAAUCAUAAUGUAAGCUUUUGAAUUUUUUUUUACAAGUUAUAUACUUUUGGCAGGUAAUGCUUUAGAUAGUAGAUGAUAGUUUUGAAUGUUUUUUUACAAAUUAUUGACUUUUGGACAUGUUAUGCUUUAAGAUAAUGGAUGAUAGUUGGAGAGCAAAAUUUGACAGAGAGUGAGAUAAGAUGGCUUUAGGCUAUGCUUUAAGGCUUAUGGUAUCUAGAGAGAUUGUAUUCCUGAUGGUGAUGAAACUGCUAACAACAUUAUGAGUGUCUCAUGUCCAAACGAGAAAAAUGUUUCCUGUGUCUGGAUUUUUUUUUCUGUUUUUUUUUUGUACCUAAGAUGUUAUGUCUAUCAAUUGUAUUUUGGAAAUCCACAUUUGUUCUGUUUCUAAAAACGUUUAUAUAUGUGUGUACACACAUGUAAUCUAAACUUCUAAGCUCUUCAUAUUAUGUGCAAUGUUAUGACUCAGGAGGAUGAUAAAGCUGAGGCUCCGGAGGAUGAGAUGGUUGUGAAAGAGCCUGAGGUAGAAAAUAAACAGAACUGGAACCGGUGUUUGAAAAACAGAAGGAGAGGAGGCAGAAAGCUUUGAAUGAGAAAGAGAUGGAUAAUGUUGCAUACAAUGACUUCGAAACUUCUAUCAAGCAUUACUCCAAAAAGGCAUUAGGGAGAAACAGAAACAUGAAGAGGUGAAUCGUUUAAAGAGGGAGACUGCUGAAACAGAGGAAUCACAUAGACGAAUAAGAAGAAGAGAGUAAGAGACCCAUGACAGAGCGUCAAGCUGCAGAGAGAGAGAGAAGCUACUAGACUGAGAAUAAGGCAAGAAAAGGCACUUCAUCUUGACGGAUCUGAGAAAGGACCUGAUGCUAAACAUGUAAGUUAUCUUUUCUUUAACACCCAUUACUUAUACUUCGUUCAUGAAAGGCCAAACUAUUACUUUCUAUGCAAAGCACAUCAGUCUAAUUUUUAUGCUGUUGGGAUUCAGAACUUUGUGAUAGUAUAAAAUUUUAAUUUUUAUCAAGCCUUAUAAAUCUCUUUAUAAAUGCAGGAGUCAACAGAAGUUUUUUUUUAUUCUUUAUCGAUGCUUGAAGCGGUAACUCAUCUCUCUCUCUCUAAAUACAUGUAUGUAUAUAUUUCUCAGUACAAUGUCUUACAAAUACGCUUAUCUGUUUUGUUGAAACAUUUGAUUUGUUCUGGACCUUGCGGGGAAUGGUAACAUCAAAUAUGUGUUAUUUACAAUCUACAUAAAUACAUUGACAAAACUGCAAACUUCCUUUGAUUGUGUCUCUUGCUGUUUGUUCUAGGAGGCACAUAUUAUGAACAUAAGAUGUCACUUCUGGCUACUACAAAGUAUCAAGGUAAAAAUUAGAUUCAAAAUUUCUCUUAUGCAAUUCCUGAUAACUUUAAAACUCAUCAUAGUGUUUUCACCUUUUUCUUCUGGUGAUAGGAUCAUUUGAAGAAGAUAGCAUGGUGAUGGAUUCAAAUAUGUAGGUAACAAAAACCACAACUCUUUCUCCCCACUUUCCAACUAUUUGGAUAUUUUAAAAUCAUUUAUUCGUUUAUUGCUUUUAGAUCUUUUACAUUCAUGAUUUGCAUCAAACAAUGUUCACUGUACUCUUCUUCAAUUAGUGAAGGGAAGAGCCAGAGGAUGAGACAUGGGUCAUUCCGGAGAUAAACGUCGUGCCGUGGUGGAAUGUUAACGUAUAGAUCUGAAGGAGAGGCCAAACAAAUCUUUUCUUUAGUCGAUAGAAACACAGUUUUUGUUUUUGUCGAGAGUAACUAUAUAAAAAUUAAUAAUAUUUUAUAAAAACCGAACGAGAGGCACAAUAUAAAACAACGUGAUAAAGAAUAUAUAAGCAUAAUAAAACUAUAAUAUAAAAUAAACUAAACAUAUCACAAAUUUACACAACAAAAAUAAUUUAUAGUAUUCUUAUAUCAAACAAUUUUAAUCAAAAAAUGACAAAAAUAAAAAAAAGAGCAGUCACGAAAAAUAAUGAUUCAUGCAUAAUAUAUAACAAACUAUUCAAAUAAAAAUCAAAUAUUAGUUAGUAUGUUUAGUUUUCUCAAACAUUCCUCUAAUCAUACUAACAUUGUAACAAUCUAUUACUUUUUGAAAGUGGGGUGCUGCAUUUUGUGUCCGUAAAGGACCAGAAGAAGAACGUUUGGCUACAUAGGUAUGUCUCUGCAUUUAAAUAGAUUUGUGUAUCAUGUUAUUGGCUUAAUGCUUUCGUGUUGAUCAUUCUGUUUAUGUGCAAUACUUGGACCACAGAGAGUGAGCAUGAUCGAGUAUGAACUCAAGAACAUGUGUAGACUUUAACAUGGUGAGUCAGCAUCCCCGAUUCUGAUGAACUCAUGUAACUGAUCUUACAGAGGGAGAUGAUCCCCUGAAUUGGCUGUUACCAUCAACUAUUGUUUGUUUUAUAAAACAAACAAAUCUUCUUUUUUUUUCCACUGUACUUUUCUAUAUAUAAAACAAAUCUAAAAUAACCAACAACUGGAUGCAAACCUCUUUGAAUGUGAAUGUGUAAAGUCAAAAAGUAGGCUGAAUCAGUCCAAUUAAUUGUUUAUGACACAAAGACAAAAUUAAGAAAAACAAUAUUUUAAACUUACGACAAAUACUCAGUAACAUAUUAUUUAACCGUACAACAGCAUGCUACAUACAAAGACACAGCACUCGGCGGUGAGCAACGCAGCACUCGGCAGAGAGAAAGAAGAAAUCGGCGGAGAAUAACGGAGAAAGUAGUGAAAGAGCAACAGAGCAAUGGCGGAUAGCAAUGAACAAGAGGCAUUGAGAUGGAUCAAGUGACGGAAAGAGUGAGAUGGACAGACAUGAAACAAGCGACAGAUAGUGUGACAAGAGAAAGGAAAUGAAAUUGCUGCAGUUCAAUAUGGCACAAGGGAGGUUCAUAGGCUCUCAGACAUGGUAAAUUAAUCACUCUGUUAGAAAACAUAUAACAAAGGUACAUGCCCAAUUGUGCUUAUUUCUUUCAAAGUAGAACCUCAUGAAAGAAAGUUGACACCUAUUGAAGAUAUCAAAGCUCUAAACAUGAAAACAUAAGUAAUUUCAAAUUCUAACAACAUUAAAAUCUGGAAUCUUCUUUGUAUUUGUUCAAAGUUUGUUAUACGAAUCCUUCUUUGCAUGUCUCUCCACAUGUUCAGUGCAUAUAUCAUAAGUUAGAUUGUAUGUUAUGUGUGGUCAUGUUAAUUUUGUACUUAUUGACUAUAAAAUGCAUUUUAUUCAUGAAUGGUUAACGGUAACAACUGUAUUUGGGACAUGAAAAAAAAUACAAUAGUGUUGUACUUAAUAGAAAACGACAAUAAUUUCACAAAUAAUCCAUUUAUAAUUAAGCAUGAAAAAAAACACUCAUUAAUUCAAAUAAUAACUCAGAAUAUAUAUAAAAGCUAACAUCUAACCAUUCAAUUAUUAUCCAAAAUUCUUAAACAAAAGAACUUUAACCAUUCAUAAUAUAAAUUGUAUAACAAAAUUAACAAACACCAUAUAAUAUCAUACACAAAUUCAUCAACAAAUAAUAAUCACAAUAUAACAAAAUUUGUUAUACUUUGGUGAUAACUUUUUUGAAUCAACAACAAAUUUUGAGAUACAAUUAUGAUUAUCAUUUUUCAAAAUUGAUUAUAUAUAUAUAUAUACAUAUAUUAUAAAUGGGGGCAUUUACAUCAAAACAGACUUUUGUCGAAAUGGAAUAAAAAUUUGAAAAGAAAAAAUUUCAAACACUUAUGAAAAUAAGAUAAAUAAUAUUUUGAUAAUGGGUUCAAUUAGUUGGAUUGUAAAUGCAUAACUUUUAUUGUAAGAACUCAGUUUGUCAUUUUUAGUGCCAUAGUUGUAAGUUUUUUUAUCUACAAAAUAUUACAAUUUUUAAACAGUUGAUUAAAAAAAAGCAUAAAGAUAUAUAAGGUGGUAAAUUAAAAGGUAGAGUCCAUUAAAUAAAUCAUAUACUAAUUAGAAACAAACGUUAUAAAUAGUUUUAUGUGUACUGAAACAUGUAAGCAAAUCAACCAAUUAAGCACCAUAAAUAAAAAAAAAAAUUUAAAAAAACAAAAAAAUAUUUAAAUUUUGUUCAUUCUGCUUUUUACCUUAUAUAUAAUUUUUAAUGACAAAAAAUAGAUACACAAAUUUCGAAUCGCGUAAGACAAAAACAUUGAAUAUUUUAAAUUAUUUUACAUUUAUCUAUAGUUUUAUAUAUUUUUAUAAUAGAUUAUCAAAUUUAUAUAUUAAAAUAAUCAUACUAAAUAUAUAAUUAAAAUUAAAUUUAAUAAAAAAACCCGGGCGUAGCCCGGGCCGACCCUAGUAUAUAUAUAUAUACACACAACUACUUCCUUCAUAACUUAUAUCUUCGACUACUUGGCUGCUGCUCUCUCUCUCUCCUUGAUAAACCCUAGAUCUCCCCGAUAAGCAGCAACAAUGGCAGACGCAGAGACCUUCGCUUUCCAGGCUGAGAUCAACCAGUUGCUCUCGCUCAUCAUCAACACCUUCUACAGCAACAAGGAGAUCUUCCUUCGUGAGCUCAUCAGUAACUCUUCCGAUGUACGUCUCUUUUGCUUUCUCCUGGAUCGAUCUGUCGAUUAGGUUUGAUUAGUGUUGCUGUUGUAUCCGAUUUGAAUAUUGAAGUAGGGAGCUCUAUGAUAUUCAAAUCUGUCUUCCUAGAUUUAGUUUUGCUACCAUGGUUAAGCAUUAGGUGUUAAGCUUCGAUGAAUUUGAUUUUCGUCUUUUAUGAGAUAAUCGCAUCUUCAAUCUAUGUGCAUUCGGUUUGUUUGUAUACUUAUGGUUGGAUCUUACUCUGGUGACUUAGUUUUUGAAUGAAAUAAGUAACUCGGAGGUAUAGUUUUGGAUUGAUUCUACGAGAUAGUUUGAGUUUCUUUCUAUGCGUUUGUAUACGUUCUUGCGUUUGUUACUUAAUGGUUUUGAUCUGAUUCUUGUGAAACAGGCGUUGGACAAGAUUAGGUUCGAGUCCUUGACUGAUAAGAGCAAACUCGAUGGCCAGCCAGAGCUUUUCAUUCACAUCAUUCCUGACAAGACUAAUAACACCUUGACCAUUAUCGAUAGUGGUAUCGGUAUGACCAAGGCUGAUUUGGUCAACAACCUUGGAACCAUUGCGAGGUCUGGUACCAAGGAGUUCAUGGAGGCGUUGGCUGCUGGUGCUGAUGUUAGCAUGAUUGGGCAGUUUGGUGUUGGUUUCUACUCUGCUUACUUGGUCGCUGACAAGGUUAUUGUGACUACUAAACACAAUGACGAUGAGCAGUACGUGUGGGAGUCUCAGGCUGGUGGGUCUUUCACCGUGACCAGAGACACCUCUGGAGAGAGUCUUGGUAGGGGUACUAAGAUGGUCCUUCACCUCAAGGAAGACCAGUUGGAGUACCUUGAGGAGAGGAGGCUUAAGGAUUUGGUCAAGAAGCACUCUGAGUUCAUCAGCUACCCAAUCUCCCUGUGGAUCGAGAAGACUAUUGAGAAGGAGAUUUCUGAUGACGAGGACGAGGAAGAGAAGAAGGACGAGGAAGGAAAGGUUGAGGAGGUCGACGAGGAGAAAGAAAAGGAGGAGAAGAAAAAGAAGAAGAUUAAGGAGGUUUCUCACGAGUGGGACUUGGUGAACAAGCAGAAGCCUAUUUGGAUGAGGAAGCCCGAGGAGAUCAACAAGGAGGAGUACGCUGCCUUCUACAAGAGUCUCAGCAACGAUUGGGAAGAGCACUUGGCCGUGAAGCACUUCUCUGUUGAAGGACAGCUCGAGUUCAAGGCUGUUCUCUUUGUACCCAAGAGAGCUCCUUUUGAUCUAUUUGACACCAAGAAGAAGCCCAACAACAUCAAGCUCUACGUACGUCGUGUCUUCAUCAUGGACAACUGUGAGGACAUCAUCCCAGAGUACCUUGGCUUUGUCAAAGGUAUUGUCGACUCGGAAGAUCUCCCCCUCAACAUCUCAAGAGAGACGUUGCAGCAGAACAAGAUCCUUAAGGUCAUCCGCAAGAACCUCGUGAAGAAGUGCAUGGAGCUCUUCUUUGAGAUUGCUGAGAACAAGGAGGACUACAACAAGUUCUACGAAGCUUUCUCUAAGAAUUUGAAGCUCGGCAUCCACGAGGACUCUCAGAACAGAACCAAGAUCGCUGAGCUACUCCGUUACCACUCAACCAAGAGCGGUGAUGAGUUGACCAGCCUCAAGGAUUACGUGACAAGGAUGAAGGAAGGUCAGGAGGAUAUCUUCUACAUCACCGGUGAGAGCAAGAAGGCUGUGGAGAAUUCUCCAUUCCUUGAGAGGCUCAAGAAGAAAGGGUAUGAAGUCCUUUACAUGGUGGAUGCCAUCGAUGAGUAUGCCAUUGGCCAGCUCAAGGAAUUCGAGGGAAAGAAGCUCGUCUCUGCAACCAAGGAAGGUCUGAAACUGGAAGAGUCAGAAGACGAGAAGAAGAAAAAGGAAGAGCUAAAGGAGAAGUUCGAAGGACUCUGCAAAGUGAUCAAGGACGUCCUUGGAGACAAAGUCGAGAAGGUCAUUGUCUCUGACCGUGUUGUGGACUCACCAUGCUGUCUGGUAACAGGGGAAUACGGCUGGACUGCAAACAUGGAGAGGAUCAUGAAAGCGCAGGCCUUGAGAGACAGCAGCAUGGGAGGUUACAUGUCUUCCAAGAAGACGAUGGAGAUCAACCCAGAGAAUGCGAUCAUGGACGAGCUGAGGAAGAGGGCUGAAGCAGACAAGAACGACAAGUCUGUGAAAGAUCUUGUUCUCCUCCUCUUUGAGACUGCCCUUCUCACUUCAGGUUUCAGCUUAGACGAGCCCAACACCUUCGGAAGCAGAAUCCACAGGAUGUUGAAGCUGGGAUUGAGCAUUGAUGAUGAUGAUGCCGUUGAAGCCGAUGCAGAGAUGCCACCGCUUGAGGAUGAUGCCGAUGCUGAAGGCAGCAAGAUGGAGGAGGUCGACUAAAAGCCUGCCCUGUUGCUGCAGUCGAUUAUUUUUCUGGACUUCUCUGAUCCUUUUU